UUAUUUUAUUAUUUUCUGAUUAUGGGUAUGUUUUUUUUAUUUGACAUUGAGGGCAGUCAACGGUGAGCUAACUCCCAGGUUUCCUAGCAAGAAAGCAUGAUUCGGGCCUAUGGUUGAUUCAUCAAGUUGUUCCUUUUCUUUUUCCUUUUUUUUUUAACUUCUCGCUGUUCAUUUUUUUAUCUUAUCUUAUCCAGCGCCAGACAAGAAAAAGGAAAGGUUGAGGAAUCUUAAAAUUUCGAAAGUGCUGCUUAGAAAAUGUUGCAGAUGGGGCACGAGUAGAAUACUGACCAAUUUCGCCCGCUGAAUGGAGAUUUCGAGCAUCUAACUAGUAACGUUACUGGCAUCCAUCCACUACUUCAAAGAAGCCGUACACUCAAAUCCCAAUUGAAUCAGGAUAAGUAACGUUACUGGCAUCCAUCCAAUAUAUAUAUAAUGUAUGUAUCCCUUGAAUAGAGAAACAAAGUGCGUGUGGCUCAAGUAAUCAAUCAGAACUCCAACCCAGAAGCAUGAAGAAGCGGGUGAUCUCAAUUUUGUCGAAAUAAAUACUAAAAGAUAAGAGAAUUUAUUGGCUUGUCAAAUUUAAACCACUCGUCUACGAAAUGAUCUCUCCAAAAACCAAUUGAAGAAUCGCAAAUAUUCUUUCCCUUGCUUCUCAAGUUCCUCUUGUGUCGAUUAUUUUCUUGUCCGGCCAUGCCUUCAAAUUAUACUCGGUAUUUUCGUUGACC